rnacentral:rRNA from 1 species
ACAAGCCUGAGAAACGGCUAGUAGGACUAAGGUCUGCAGCAGGCGCGAAACUUACACAAUGCUAGAUUUCAAAUAUUAGCGAUGUAGUGAAGAAAAAUAACGAUGUACUUGUAUUUAAACAUACUUGUACAAUUGGAAUGAGACGACUUUAAAUGGGUCAGUCGAGUAACAAAUGGAGGGCAAGUCUGGUGCCAGCAGCCGCGGUAAUUCCAGCUCCAUUAGCAUACAUUAAAGUUGUUGCGGUUAAAAAGCUCGUAGUUGAAUUUUGGACGAGUUCUUGGGUGUUUGUGCCGUCAAGGCGCGCUUCGGCGUGCUGGUAUGAAUCAACCUGCGGAGCUCGUUGUUUCGUCACUUAAUCGAGUGCGAAGCGGGGCGGUGCAAGGUGCACUUCGGUGCGCAGCAACGCCAUGUUUACCUUGAGAAAAUUAGAGUGCUCAGAGCAGGCAGUUGGGAUGUAAAAGUCUCUUUAUGCUUGAAUAAUGUUGCAUGGAAUAAUAGAAUACGGCCUCGGUUCUAUUCUGUUGGUCUUAUAGAACAACAAACAAGUUGGUCUUGGUGCGUCAACGGCUUGUUAAGUGUGUGAGUAAUAUUGCGCUUGUUGUCUGAGAGUAAAAUCUUAGUACCAUCACAGUGUUUCUCAUAAAAGCACUCUUUUCAAAGCUAGCACCUCCAACUGAGGCAAUGGUUAAAAGAAAUAGUCGCGGCGGCAUCAGUACUGCAUCGUGAGAG